rnacentral:lncRNA from 1 species
GUCCUGCAAAAGGGGCCAGGCCCACGGGCAGGCACGACCAGAGGUCAGCUGCCCUGCAGAGAGAGGGGGAGAGAGACCUGGCCCACGAGCACACGCAACUAGGACCAAGUGUCCUGCAAAGGAAGAAAACAGACAUACAGGCACGCGCGGCCAGAGACCAGAUGUCUUGCAAAGGGAGCGACUCAGCUAGCUUUGGGUACACUGGGCCAGCUCAAAACCGGCUAGCAGAUACGACCCAGGCAGGCGUUAUGAAGGAUUUAGGGGCCAGGCCGGCGCAACCUUCGCCACAAACUCGGUCUCCCGCCCACCCCACCGCCGCUGCCUGUGACCAGGGGGCGCUCCCCGACCCAAUCAUCAGAGUAUCACUGCUCAGAUCAGACAGGCCUGCAGCUGGGCUCUUGGACUAGAGUUUAGAAACUGCUAGGUGACUGCUGGAGUUGGGCAUGAAUAUAAUCCAGUACUUGGAGGCAGAAUAAGGAAGAUCAAGAGUUCAAGAGGGGUUGCCCCAGAAGAGCAGUCCAUCGAAUACUCAGGUGAUCUCAUGUGAACCUUCCUCUCAGGAGGUUUGAGAGUGGGGGCAGGAGAAGAGAGAAGAGGCAAGAGAGGAGGAGAGGACAGAAGAAGAGGAGGAAGCCUCCAUGGACCUGAACCACAUGUCCAGGAGAAACCCUUUGACCCUUACACAUAACAUGUCUCUGCUACCGAUGAAGUUGUUCAUGUCUGCCGUUGUAAGCCCCCCCACUUCACCCCUGCGUGCGGCUCCCGCAUGAAGCCUCAGCAUCGAGACACGAGUAAACUAACAACCCAUAAGCACUGCAGGAUAACAGCUCAGACGUGAGAUUGGAGCUUUGGUGUACUGGUGCUCUUUGAAGUCUUUAAAGGACACUCAGUGUCUCUGAAGGCUGGCCUCAUCGCUGACUCUGAUGCAUCCUGUGCCAGCAGUGUAGCAGCCAGGUGCUGUCAGCACAAGAGCACUCAUGCCUCCCUGCUGAUUCACGGAUGGAUAGGGGACUGUGCGCUUCUCAACUGGGAGGAGCCUUCAAGCAGAAUGACCUCCACCUCUCACUGCUGUCACCAGGUGCCACUCCACCGUUGUUACCUGGGUAACCCUGGAGCCUCAAUCCAGGCAUUUGGAGACCAGGCCAUGAAUGUCUCCAGCAUUCCCUUUAUUUCAUCUUUGACACACUGGAGAAUCGAGGCUCCAGAAAGCUGUGAACAAUCAGUCCAAGUGACCAAGUAAGGUUUCUCCUGAGUACUUCAGCCUUCCAAAAGCUUGGCCUGAGACCUCGCUCUUCAAAACCUGCCCUGUAGAUUUCAAGCACAGCACUCGAUUGCCACCCCGUCUCUCACCCUCACCUUCCAAGUUCUGUUUUCUCAACACAAAAACAAAUACAGGAGAACAGAGAUGUCCUGGUAUCGUGUCUUUAUUCCUAGCACCUGAGGAUAGUAUUCAAUGGGUACUGCUGAAUAACUGAUGUGUCUGAAAGUUGGGCCUGUGCUUGUGGUCAACUUGGGAAACAGCACGCACCAAGGAUGACCUGCAUACUGUAUUUAUGUUGUGUAUUUGUCCAAAUUCACUUGUUUCUCAGUUCUAAAUUCAAUUUGCAGGUACUGUUCAUCAAGAGACCGUCAUCACAUGCCUGCUUGCCUAAGUGGCUCGUGGGAUGAGCUGGCAAAUGUCCCACGUGCCAGGUAAUUUUUGUACAACUAUGAAGCAGUUGUAUCUGUUGGAAAAAGGAAAGGUUGGGCAGUCACAGCUUUAUUAAACAGAGACCAUCCAUUUGCCCAAA